rnacentral:rRNA from 2 species
GUUUCCGUAGGUGAACCAGCGG